CCUAACCCAAAGUUUCAGCAUGCUUUUUUCCUGAACUUUUUCUUACCUAGGAUUAUUCUAUUGAGAGAUUUUUAUUUUACUGUCAUUAUACGACCGCAAAUUUUGAAAAAAUUUUCGUCGUAUAUUGCUAUCACGUUGGCGUCGUCGUCGUCGUCGUCGUCGUCGUCGUCCGGCGUCCGAAUACUUUUAGUUUUCGCACUCUAACUUUAGUAAAAGUGAAUGGAAAUCUAUGAAAUUUUAACACAAGGUUUAUGACCACAAAAGGAAGGUUGGUAUUGAUUUUGGGAGUUUUGGUCCCAACAUUUUAGGAAUUAGGGGCCAAAAAGGGCCCAAAUAAGCAUUUUCUUGGUUUUCGCACUAUAACUUUAGUUUAAGUUAAUAGAAAUCUAUGAAAUUUUGACACAAGGUUUAUGACCACAAAAGAACGGUUGGGAUUGAUUUUGGGAGUUUUGGUCUCAACAGUUUAGGAAUUAGGGCC
rnacentral:lncRNA from 1 species